AAUAGAAUUCAAUAUAAAUUAGCGUUUAUAAAAAUAGAAGUAGAGAUAUCUUGUUAGCCAAAGUAAUCAGCAUGAACAUGUAGGAAACAUUAAUACGAUUUCUGUAGAUAUAUAGAACGCUCGAAUCCGACAUUGUAUGAAGAAGUUAUGCUUCUUCGAAAUUUCGCGAUUCAACCGACAUGGUUGUGCUCGUCAUAAAAUAUGAAUCAGAGAUAGAUUACUUAUUAGACUGAGUGAUCUAAAUGAAAGUCGUAGUAGUUGUAAAAUCGAGAGCGUACAUAUAUAGAACGUCCUAAUCUGACUUCGUAUUAGGAAGUUAUGAUUUUUCCAAGUUUUAACAUAGUAGUGCGCGACACAGAAACCGAAAUUAAGAUUAGUUAAUUCUUAAGAAAAACAAUCUAAACAAGAAUUGAAGAUCUCAUCUAUAUUAUUCAAUCGAUAUAAAGACAGACGUGAACAAAAUCUGCAUGAAGAAGUUAUGAAUUUUACACAAUCGUUAGAAGUAUAAUUUUUGUAGACUAUUAAAUUUAAUAUCAAACGAGAAUUAGCCGAUGGGAUCUACAUGAAAGUUGAAGUACUCAUCGAUAGCUACGCAUGGAUAUAAAGAACGUCGAAAAUGGAGAUCGUAUGAGAGAGAUACUCUUUUUAGUGAUCUACGAUUUUACUUGGCAUGGGAGGCUCAUGAGCGAACACGUAGCAACAAGCGGCCCACCCAACCAACCUACCCAUGGGUGCGGUGCGUAAAUAGUUAGGUGUGACAACCCCAUUUUCACGGCCAGAAAAGACUGAUUUUGUUUAUGCUUUAUAAAAAUCAGAGUAGCACUUUUUAAUAAAAAUGUGCGGAAUUUGUUCCCAGUGAAACAUGAUAAAUACGUUAUCAGUGCAUUUCCGAAGAAAAUUAUUUUUAUUCAUUUUAAAACAUUUGGGAUGUCAUCGUCAAUACAGAAACAUAAGCAUAAACAGAAGUUACAUUCAUUAUCACUAGUUAUUUAUAUCUCCUUAAUCUCUCAGUGUAAUGUGACUUCAUAUCAACACCUGUGAUAUAAAUAAACUGAGUGGGUCAGGUUGGGAAACCUGGUGAGUACAUAGGGUUUUCAACCCAUAAUAAUAUAAUUAUUAUGUUUAAUCAUCAAAAGUUAACCCAAUUACUCAUCCCCAUUAUCUUCGUUACUCUUAAAGAUCUACCCUAAGAAUCAGCUAUUUCUCAUUCAUUCAUUCCUAAGGAUUAUCCUAAGGAAUAUGUACAAAGUCCAUCGUUGUCAAUGACACAGCUGUCAAGCACAACUGCUAGUUCUAUCACUUAGGCGCAACUGCCACAAUUGUAACAUUCUAUGUGAGGCGCAGCUGCCAGUAUUGUCCUUCGAGCACAGCUGCUAGGGUUAUCUCGUUUAUUAACAGUAUCGUUUUCGAGAGUCCACUCGCAAUACAUGUCAAUGGUUUUUAGAGUACACUACAGGUUGCGAGUCUGCUAGUGUUCCACUGGACUGUCUUGAAUAGUCCAUGGUUGUCAUCCAUACUCUGCUAGAUGACGGGGCCAGCAUUUAGGAACAAUGCUUCUCACAUCGUCCACCUCUCACCCUUACCUCAUGGUCUAUAUCACCUCUCAACUCAUCAUCCAACUCAUAUUUCAUCUACCCAUGUUUUACCCAACAUAUUACGUAGAUAUAAAUACAUAUACAGUUUAAAUCAUAUAAAACUUAUAUAAAAUCGUUCAUCCAGCAUAGAUAGCAAGUAUACAGAUAAUAUGCACACAUAACACCUAUUUUAUAUAAAAUACUUCAUAUCUAUGUGUAAGAUGAACGGGACCAUGCACUCACUUGAAAGGUGGUGAUUCCGAACUCAGACAACGCUUCGCUUCUUAAAAAUAAUUUCCUUCGACGAAACCUAGUAUUAUUACCACUUGAAUUUAGUCUAUUAUUCGUCGAGACUAAUUAAUAGUCUAGUUAUUAUUACCAUUAUAUAAUCGUUAAACAAUACUUAUAUAACCCAUAAUAAUAGCCCAAGUACUUAUUAUAAGUUCCUAAUAACGUUACUAUAAUUAAAUAAAAAUUAUAUUAAAACUAACAUAGGCGUAGCUCACUUACAGCGGGUUUUAUAGAAAACCGGGCUUUGCUUGGAGCAGCGUUCCCGAGCCGAAAAGCUCUUCUUCUCAGAGUCGUCGAGCACUCCGGGGCUUCCGCCUCGUGCUAAGGAGGUUCCCUAGGCUUUUCGGGGGGUUUCGGGGCUAGAGAGAGGUUCUAGAGAGAGAGUAAAGAGAAGAAAGAAUGGGAAAGGUGUGAAGAAAAUGAGGGUGGGAGAGGUUUUAUUUAUAGGGUGAAAUAUGGCUGAACUUGGUGCCAAAUGUCACCAUCUGGUGGCAAGACUUGGGGAUAAAGCAAUGGCCAAGAUUGUGCCACGUCACCCAUUUUCGCACAUCACACUUCCGAUUUCUAAAAUGCUUCACUUUCACAUACGAGCUCCAUUUUUGACAUUCUUUAUAUCCAUGCAUAGGUAAAAAUAAGAUCUACAACUUUUAUUUUGACUCCGUCGGCUAAUUCUCGACCGAUCUUAAAUUUAACAGUACGAGGAGAUUAUACUGUUAAAUGUCCGCGUAAAAUUCAUAACUUCUACAUACGGACUCCGUUUUCGUCUGUCUUUUUACCGUUGAGUUCCUAUUAAUGUGAUCUUCAAUUCUUAUUUAGGUCGCGUAGGCCAAAACCGCUCGAUCUAAAAUUUGUGUUUCGGGGUGUAUACUGUUAAGUCAAAUCUUAGAAAAUUCAUAACUUCCUCAUACGAAGUCAGAUUUGGGCGUUCUUUUUUUGUAUGUUCUCGGUUUAAUGUAUACUAAAAAUUUUGUUUAGAUAACUAUAGCUAAAAAUUCCUCUAUCAUAAAUUCACUAUUUACGUCUCCCGGUGCCGUGUUGGUUUUGCCGUAAAACUUCGACGAGCCAUAACUUCUUCGUUAUAUACUCGGAUUUCGGCGUUCUUUAUAUGUACGGAACCCUUGUAACAUAUACUACAACUUGGUUAAGAUUAAUCCUUCUAAAUAAUAUUUCAUCAAAAACUCAUUUUUGACGCUUAUUGUCUCUAAAUUGACUAGCCCGGAUCUACGGGCGUUAUAAUUAUAUCCCCUUAGGAUGAUUACGUCCCAGAAUCAUCAACGAAACAGGGCUUAUAUAAUGAUUCCAUACGUUAUCUAUUCAUCCUAAGUAAUAAUCGUAACUUUGAUGUUUCUUCGAACGAGUAUCUAACUCUAAGACUUCCUAACUGCAGGCGGUGCUCGAUCUUGCACUUGGUCCCUAUCUCACGUUAGACUCCAAAUUAUGAUCUUCAAGUCAUAAUCUCGAUCCUUACUGGAGACUGCUUCUUCUUCUUCUUAACAAACUUAAGAUAAGUUAUUUUAUUACUACGAUGGACCGAUGUCAUAUUCUAAUGACCUAUCAUCGUAUGUUCCCACGCUUAGACUCAGGCCUCUUAGAGUCUUCCAAAACAGACUAUACAUUUCUUCAUGUUAUAAUCACAUCUUAAAAGGUAGCAUUUCUAGCUACAAGCAGCUAUCGUGAUACCUCUACCGAUUGUUUUGAUUAUCUUUUAUUUCUAUCUUCCGGCUUAAGUCAAAUGCUACAUCAAACUUAGUUCUCUGAACCACAUAACAUACUCAUCAUAGUUUGACUCAAUUUAAUAUGACCACUAGGGUCGGAAUAACAAUCAUCCUCUUAGUCAUUACCGAAACGAUGGUAACGACAUAUUUGAAUAUAACGGUAUCAGUUACAAGCUUCUUGGUAACCUUGUGACUUUCCCUGAUCCAAGCGUGAGUCCUGUGCUUCUGGUAGUAUAGGCCUCUACUACCUUUCACACCUACUCAUACUCAUCCCAAGUAUUGUCUCGCAGUUCACUCAAGUCACCAUACAAGAAAAUCACAUAACAACUUGACACAUUAGAUAACAAAUCGAAGGUUUUAUAUUAUUCCUUGAAACGAUUACAUAGGUGUUCAAUUUCAACCUAUAAUAUGCCUCUAAUAGGCUACACCACGUGGUACUAUUUACACGACUACUUCAUAGAGCCUCGUUCCCGAUCCCUUUCAUUUCCAUCUUCUUCGUCAAAGAUCAUAUGGAACUCUCUUGCCUUCGGUUUCGGUCGAAUGUUUGGUCUUUCCGCCUCUUUCUUCGUCGGGCAAUCCUUAGCAAUGUGCCAUUCUUCAUGGCAUUCAUAACAUACCCUUUUGCUGGCGGUGCACUCGUUGGCGUAAUGUCUGGUCUUCCCACACUUGUAGCAAGUCACUUCCUCGCUACAUUUCCUAAAGUGCUUCUUCUUGCACUUCUCGCACCAUUUCACUUCGUUUCCUCCUCCGCUAAACUCCUUUGAACCGAACUUGAUCUUCUUAUUGGGCCUUGUAGACCCCUCAAACUUCCUCUUUUCGCCAACCUCAAUCUUGUUGGCAGCACUUCCCUUAAUCAUAUCCUCCACAGACUUGGCAGCCCAGAUAGCUGCCUAAUGUACUGGCACCGCGUACUCCCAUGGAAGUCCCUUUGCAUACUUGUCGAUUUUCGUCAACUCAUCCGGAAAAAGACACAAGGCGAACUCCAUCUUCUCUGUGAAUUUGUUGGUGUAUUCAUCAAUUGACAUGCUUCCUUUCUUCAAGGUCGGGAACGGGUUCUCUAGCUCGAGCAAGUUUUGGGCCGAGUAGUACUUGCGUUUGAACUGCACCAAAAAUUUUGCCCAUGCAGUUGCAUGGGCUCAUUGGGGCUCAGAGUCUUCCCCAGGGUAUUCCACCAGCACACAACACCUCCUUGGAAUUGACGUAUUGUAAAGGUGGUCUGUAACUUGCCUCUACAACCAUAUGUCAUGAAAGCUAACUCCAUCUUCGAGAUCCAAUCCAUGAAUCCGAUUGGAUCUUCCUUUCCAGUGAAAGUCGAUGGCUUGCAAGUUAGAAAAUCCUUGUACUUGCAUAUAUUCCUCUCGACUCCGUCAUCCUGGUUGUUUUGUCGAGCUAUUGGUGGGUUGGCUUGACCAACGGUCCCACUGUAGUUUCCUCCUUCUGACUGCCCAUCGUUCAAUUAGGGCUGUUCAACUAGCAUUGUAGAUCUGUCCCUAUUUUCAUGCAAUAUCUGCAUCAUCUCUUCCCGUUGUUCAGCCAACAUAUCCCGUACUACUCCGGCCAUUGUAAUUGGCUCAGGAGCAUCUGCUAUAACAAGUAUUUCUUCAAUCACUGGUGGUUGAUUCCUGUUCCCAUUUGCAUUCCCGGCUCUACUACGGGUUCUUGCCAUUUCGAUCUAUAUACCAAAUCAGACGUUCGGUGUGCAAUGACGAGAAUUAAGACAGGAAAUAUUUUAUUUACGAUCGACGUGUAAAUCUCCCUAUUUCUCUGAAAAGUUAUAUGUCAGUUCUAAUAUCGUAAUUAAACGUUUAAAAAUCCGAACACAUAAAGUUUUCAGAUCCGGUAGGCAACAGACCAUAGAUCUGAUCAUACAAUGCAUAUCAUAAAUCAUUUAGCACAUAAAAGCAUGUUAGGCAUUUUCCCUAAAUUAGCUAGUGCUUUUUUCUAUUCAGGUGCAUUACCUAAAUUUUAUUAGACACACUCCUCACAAUCAUUGAUUACCAUUCUAAGUUUAAGUCUAGAUAUAAAUCCAUAUUCCUAGUUCGCUUAAACUAAUGCUCUGAUACCAACUGUGACAUCCCCAUUUUCACGGCCAGAAAAUACCGAUUUUGUUUAUGCUUUAUAAAAGUCAGAGUACCUCUUUAAAUAAAAAUGUUGGGGAAUUUGUUUCCAGUAAAACAUGAUAAAUACGUUAUCAAAGCAUUUCCAAAAAAAAUAUUUGUAUUCAUUUUAAAACAUUUGGGUUGUCAUCGUCAAUACAGAAACAUAAGCAUAAAUAGAACUUACAUUCAUUAUCACUAGUGAUUUAUAUCUCCUUAAUCUCUCAGUGAAACGUGACUUCAUAUCAAUACUUGUGAUAUAAAUAAACUGAGUGGGUCAGGUUGGGAAACCUGGUGAGUACAUAGGGUUUUCAACCCACAAUAAAUAAGUUUAUU
rnacentral:lncRNA from 1 species